UUGGAGGGCAAGUCUGGUGCCAGCAGCCGCGGUAAUUCCAGCUCCAAUAGCGUAUAUUAAAGUUGUUGCAGUUAAAAAGCUCGUAGUUGAAUUUCGAGACCGGUUUACUGGUCGUGCUUUUGUACGUACUGGUAUUAUUGGUUUCUCCUUUCUGACGAAUCAUAAUGCCAUUAAUUUGGUGUUUUGGGGAAUCAGGACUGUUACUUUGAAAAAAUUAGAGUGUUUAAAGCAGGCUCGCGCUUGAAUACAUUAGCAUGGAAUAAUGAAAUAGGACGUUUGACCCUAUUUUGUUGGUUUCUAGGAUCGACGUAAUGAUUAAUAGGGAUAGUUGGGGGCAUUAGUAUUCAAUUGUCAGAGGUGAAAUUCUUGGAUUUAUUGAAGACUAACUACUGCGAAAGCAUUUGCCAAGGAUGUUUUCAUUAAUCAAGAACGAAAGUUAGGGGAUCGAAGACGAUCAGAUACCGUCGUAGUCUUAACCAUAAACUAUGCCGACUAGGGAUCGGAUGAUGUUAAUUUUUUAAUGACUCAUUCGGCGCCUUACGGGAAAC
rnacentral:rRNA from 1 species